rnacentral:misc_RNA from 1 species
CCGAGCGAGGGCUCCGGCCCGACCUCCAACCCAUUGAAGUUACCAACUCUGUUGCCUCGGGGGUGACCCGGCCGCCGCGUCGGGGCCCCGAAGGACCACCCCACUCUGCGUCUCUGCGUCGGAGUCUGAGGGAAAUGUCAAUUA